rnacentral:rRNA from 1 species
GACGAACGCUGGCGGCGUGCCUAAUACAUGCAAGUAGAACGCUGAAGAGAGGAGCUUGCUCUUCUUGGAAGAGUUGCGAACGGGUGAGUAACGCGUAGGUAACCUGCCUUGUAGCGGGGGAUAACUAUUGGAAACGAUAGCUAAUACCGCAUAACAAUGGGUGACCCAUGUCAUUCAUUUGAAAGGGGCAACUGCUCCACUACAAGAUGGACCUGCGUUGUAUUAGCUAGUAGGUGAGGUAACGGCUCACCUAGGCGACGAUACAUAGCCGACCUGAGAGGGUGAUCGGCCACACUGGGACUGAGACACGGCCCAGACUCCUACGGGAGGCAGCAGUAGGGAAUCUUCGGCAAUGGGGGCAACCCUGACCGAGCAACGCCGCGUGAGUGAAGAAGGUUUUCGGAUCGUAAAGCUCUGUUGUAAGUCAAGAACGAGUGUGAGAGUGGAAAGUUCACACUGUGACGGUAGCUUACCAGAAAGGGACGGCUAACUACGUGCCAGCAGCCGCGGUAAUACGUAGGUCCCGAGCGUUGUCCGGAUUUAUUGGGCGUAAAGCGAGCGCAGGCGGUUUGAUAAGUCUGAAGUUAAAGGCUGUGGCUCAACCAUAGUUCGCUUUGGAAACUGUCAAACUUGAGUGCAGAAGGGGAGAGUGGAAUUCCAUGUGUAGCGGUGAAAUGCGUAGAUAUAUGGAGGAACACCGGUGGCGAAAGCGGCUCUCUGGUCCCGUAACUGACGCUGAGGCUCGAAAGCGUGGGGGAGCGAACAGG